GCAUCUUUGGUCUAGUUGGUUAUGACGCUCGCUUCACACGCGAGAGGUCCCGAGUUCGAUUCUCGGAAGAUGUA
rnacentral:tRNA from 1 species